AGUAAUGGUACUAUUUCAUUUCAUCCUAGUGAGAAAGGUGUGUGGAUUUUUUGGUGGUAAAUUGGAGUCCGUGUAUGUGUGAUCCUCCCAACAGAGUGAAUUUAAAUAUCUAAAGAUUACUGAGAAAGGAUAAAGUUGAAUAAAUCAUAAUGAACAAUGUUUAUGUUACUUUUUAAAGUUUUAACACUUGUAAUUGAGUAAAUCCUGAAACAAAGUAUAUUAUUAUGUUUGAUGGAUUUAAACUAUUGGUCAAAUCCUGUUCCAUGUGUACAUAGUGUUUCUUUCUUACUCUGUAACCCUUUUGCCAGAGAUAACAGGAAGAGAGCCUGGUUACCAUUUGGUGGAACAAUCCUGCUGGCUCAAGCCUCUGCCUAGAAAUUUGGGUCAUUCUCUUUUUUGGACAGUCUGGAAACCUCGACCUGUCUCCCAGUUGGUCGCACAGCAGGUUACUCAGCAGUUUGUGCCUCCUACACAGUCAAAGAAAGAGAAAAAAGAUAAAGUAG
rnacentral:sRNA from 1 species